UACGUAGGGUGCAAGCGUUAAUCGGAAUUACUGGGCGUAAAGCGUGCGCAGGCGGUGAUGUAAGACAGAUGUGAAAUCCCCGGGCUCAACCUGGGACCUGCAUUUGUGACUGCACGGCUCGAGUGCGGCAGAGGGGGAUGGAAUUCCGCGUGUAGCAGUGAAAUGCGUAGAUAUGCGGAGGAACACCGAUGGCGAAGGCAAUCCCCUGGGCCUGCACUGACGCUCAUGCACGAAAGCGUGGGGAGCAAACAGG
rnacentral:rRNA from 1 species